GCAGCCAGUACUCUUAUCUGCUGAGCCAUCUCUCCAGCCCAGUGAAUUAUUUGAAAAAAAAAAAAAAGAAAAAGAAAAGGCCACAAAGUUGAGGGCUAAGGGUGUCAGAAUGGAUCUGGGAGGAGUAUGUGGAGAAUAUGCCCAGAUUGCAUUGUAUGAAAAUUUCAAAGAAUUAAUGUUUUUCAGAGACAAAGCAUUCGUGGAAACAAAAAUAAGCAGGGCUUAAGCUAUUCACAAAAAAGAACAGUUAUCAUUUUACAGGAUUAUGACACAACUUCCUUAUUAUACCCAUGUUCAGGUCCAUCUUUGUAAUGGUUAGAAAGAUCAUACCAUGAAGCAGCUUCCUGAAUGCGGAGAAAGAAGGGCGCUACCAGUCAUUUGGGAAAUAUGUUAGUGGAAUCUCCAGACCAUCAACCUUACACAUCAAGAGUUGAAGCAUUAGGGAUACACAUAAUGAAAAGAAGACAGUGUAAGUGACGACGGGAGACCCGUAAAGGUGCUCAUGUGAAAGUGCUAACAGUAUGCCAAGUGUUAACAGCAAUGGAAGGGAGGAGCUAUGCUGACUCUGGCCCAGUGCACCACGAUUGAUCAGCUAGCUGAAAACAAACUGCUGAAUUGAAGAUGUUUUUUCUUUAUUGGAUGAAGAUGGAGAUGGCUAUGGGAACAUGACAGCAAAGGAAUUUGGCCCUCCCAUAUGGUCACUGGCAAUACUCAAAUCAAAUUUCAGGAUAUGACCAAUGAACUGGUCACCAUUGACAUACCAGAAUUUUUACUUUGAUGGAAAGAAAAAAUAAAAGAAAACAAAAAAGGUGGAAGAAGAGGAGGAAGAGGAGGAGGAGGAGAAAGAAGAAGAAAGAAGAAAGGCUGUACCAUACAUGUUUUCUGCUUCAGUUCUUGCCUCUAUGCUUUGAGUUCUUGCCUUGGUGCCCCUCAGUGAUUGACUGUUAGGUGUGAGCCAAAAGAACUCUGCUUUUCCUGAGCUAGUUAUAGUUAGGUUUUUAUCAUAGGAACAGAAAACAAACUAGGGCAGUGUGCAUUUGAAAAUGUUUUCAUCUUGAAAGUGGUGUCAAAAAACAUUAAAACUUGAGGUGAGACAGGGUCUCUGGCUAGGGAUCAUACAAUUCAGGAUGGAACUAGGGCUCUGGCUCCAUUGGUUUAUUUUAGGACUUU
ensembl:lncRNA